GGGCCAGUAGAUCAAUCUGGUUAGAUCGUCUGCUUUGCAAGCAGAAGGCUCAGGGUUCAAAUCCCUGCUGGUCCA
rnacentral:tRNA from 1 species